rnacentral:lncRNA from 1 species
AUAGUGGAGCACGGUAUGGCGCCGUCAUUAAUGGCGCAGACAAGUGAGAAAUUGUCAACUCACUGUAGACUGUCAGAGUCGCCGUGAAAGUGUCAUGUCGCCGUGGGGCUGUCAAAUCACCAGGGUUGACAAUGCCCUCGGCGGGACAAUGCCCCUAGAUGGCCGUGCCGCAUGCUGCUGUCAGAACUGACAAGGUCUGGCGGCUGUACGG